GGCCAGACUCCUACGGGAGGCAGCAGUGGGGAAUAUUGGGCAAUGGGCGCAAGCCUGACCCAGCCACGCCGCGUGAAGGAAGAAGGCUUUCGGGUUGUAAACUUCUUUUAAGAGGGAAGAGCAGAAGACGGUACCUCUUGAAUAAGCCACGGCUAACUACGUGCCAGCCGCCGCGGUAAUACGUAGGUGGCAAGCGUUGUCCGGAUUUACUGGGUGUAAAGGGCGUGUAGCCGGGCUGACAAGUCAGAUGUGAAAUUCCGGGGCUCAACCCCGGACCUGCAUUUGAAACUGGUGGUCUUGAGUGUCGGAGAGGCAGGCGGAAUUCCUAGUGUAGCGGUGAAAUGCGUAGAUAUUAGGAGGAACACCAGUGGCGAAGGCGGCCUGCUGGACGACAACUGACGGUGAGGCGCGAAAGCGUGGGGAGCAAACAGGAUUAGAUACCCCAGGAG
rnacentral:rRNA from 1 species